rnacentral:lncRNA from 1 species
AAGUGUUUCCAAUAUCACUAAAGAUGUAUCUCAUGGUUGUGUUUUUUGGUUUUGUUUGAAGUGUUUAAAGCUACUUCAGCAUUUAACGUACUUCAUUAUAUUCUGAAGUAAAACAAUAAAAAAACUGUACAUAUAAUCCUCGAUUUACAAUAUGGUUAUGUCCCAAUAAUCCCAUGGUAAACUGAAAAUAUGUUAAGUCAAAAGGCAGCGCAGAGCCUUUGGUUAAGGAAUCACAAAUCUGUAUUUAUGAAUGAAAACUAUAGUACUCUUGGUUUUAACAAAAUCAACAGAAGCUGCAAAGAAGUCCUCCAUGCAGAGAUCCUAUGAAGAGCCUCCUUUCUAUAUAACCUAACUAACAUCUGCACCAGACUGUCCACAUUGAAGAUGGUGGAUUUAUUCUUUCAACUCAUGCUAUAAACAGUUAAUAUAACAAGUAUUUAACUUUCCAGGAAAGCAUGAGCAAGGGCUGCUUUCUUUAACUUGCUGUUUUUCCGAUACUCUUAGAAAUCUGCUGUCUAUUCCUGUCUACAAUGAUUCAGCAAUGAGGAAACAUUGACAGAGUAUCUGCUAUGUGCUAGUCACUGUAGACUUCCCCAUCUAAUCUCACAACAAACCUGUCAGGUCUAAAAGAGUCAUGGAGAUGCUGUGGUGAGGGGAGAGGCCAGGCUUAGAGACCUUCAAGAUCUUCAACACCCCCCCAACCCCAACUCUGCACUCCAAAUGGCCACUCUCCAAACACACCCCUGGAAAACAACCAAUGCUCCUCAGAGUGUUUGACUCCUGAUACCACUUAUCUGGUGAUAAGAACUUUUGGGCCAGGCACAGUGGCUCAUCCCUGUAAUCCCAGCACUUUGGGAGGCCAAACCAGGUGGAUCACUUGAGGUCAGGAAUUCAAGACCAGCCUGGCCUGCAGCAUGGUGAAACCCCUUCUCUACAAAAAAUAUGAAAAAUUAGCCAGGUGCGGUGGUGAGUGCCUGUAAUCCCAGCAACUCGGGAGGCUGAGGCAGGAGAAUCACUUGAACCUGGGAGGCAGAGGUUGCAAUGAGCUGAGAUUGCGCCACUGCACUCCAGCCUCGGGGACAGAGCAAGACUCAGUCUCAAAAAAAAAAAAAAAAAAAAAAAGAACUCAUGGAACUCUCCAAAGAGCAAAGAUAAUUAACUGAAAAACUAAAACAAAACAAAAUGAAAACACAAAAACUCCCUUUAACAUGUAUGCAAUCUGUUUGAAUAUAGUCACUUGAGCUGAAAAGAUGUUCACAAAAGCACAGAGUGGCUUCUCUGGCAUUAAAACAAGAUUGAGAAUCACUGCUUUAGUGUAAAAUCACCCCCUGCUGGGCCUCAUCUCCAUUUCUCUUACACUGGGACUGGUAGGCCAGCUAUCAAAGAAAACAUCUGAGUAGGUCGGUCUCUACGGAGGUCAGCACCAACCAGCAAGGCCAGGUUCCUUGCCUAGAAAACAGCUCUUAAGGUUAGCACAACCUACCUAAACCGACGCCCACUUCCCUCUCUGGUGAGCCAUCUCCUGCCCUCCCCUUGGACAAGCCCCUACUCUAGCCACCCUGGACACCAUGGCUGGAGUCCCAUACUUGACUUUCUCCUCUGUCUACACUGAAACACAGCCAAUUUUAGCCAGUAAAUGUUAAUCACCUUAGAGGAUCUCAGAUAAGGACAACACAAAUCCACUCUUUUGCAGCAGCUCUAAUGUUAGGGGUCUCAAGUUUUAACUAAAGUGUCCUGACCUCCCUCACUGUGGAAAGGCCUAAAACAAGUCUGAAGGGUAAUGGAUUAGAAACAGACAGUUGAGCUGAAAGGAUGUUGGCUGCAAAUCACCACGGGCUUGGUAUCCAACAAAUUCACAUGGUCUGGUCUGUUAGGAGCACUGGUAAAAGCCCUUAACAACUGGCUCUCUGGGUAAAGAAAAAAGGAGGGGUGGGAAGCCCAGAUUUGUGGCAUUUGCUCAUUUCAUGGUAUUAAAUGGUAUCCCACCAUGGCAGAUUUCAAAAUAUCAACUUGACAUCAACCAGCUCACAAAAUCCUGAAAAAUGUAAUGAUUAGCGAGUGUGAGCCAGCACAACUGAGGAUGCGGUCUGAUGUCAGGCCAAAGAGAAUAUAAGUAUUAUUCACUUCAAAUUUAAAUAUGUAAAACUGGCAAAAAAAUUCAAGUGCCUCAAGGCCUUCUUUUUAAACUUAGGCACAGAUACUAGCAAGCUUUACCCAUAUCAAUAAACUGGGCCGGGCGCGGUGGCUCACGCCUGUAAUCCCAGCACUUUGGGAGGCCGAGGCGGGUGGAUCACGAGGUCAGGAGAUCAAGGCCAUUCUGGCUAACACUGUGAAACCCCGUCUCUACUAAAAAUACAAAAAAUUAGCCGGGCAUGGUGGCGGGCGCCUGCAGUCCCAGCUACUCUCCAGGCUGAGGCAGGAGAAUGGGGUGAACCCAGGAGGCGGAGCUUGCAGUGAGCCGAGAUGGCGCCUGGGCAACAGAGCGAGACUCUGUCUCAAAAACAAAACAAAACAAAAAAACAAAAUAAACUGAUACAGCCAAUGAAAACAAUAAUACAUUACUCACCUUAUAAACAGUGUCCACAUAAUUUACUGUUCAAACUAGAGUUUCUGAGAGUGUUAUAUGAGACAACAGGAGUAAGCCAGAGCUGUGUUAGUCAAACUAGGACAUGACUUCUUCUUUUUUAGAUGUACUAAUAGUAGCUUCUUGCCAAAGGGCUUCUUAUUACUUCAUGGUGGAAAACAAUGUUUUAUUUAUGUAGCUAUUUACCAUCCAGGCAGGUAACUUAUUGAGUACCACGGGUGACUAUUAUGCUUCGAG